rnacentral:rRNA from 1 species
UGAGGAAUAUUGGUCAAUGGGCGGAAGCCUGAACCAGCCAAGUCGCGUGAGGGAAGACGGCCCUACGGGCUGUAAACCUCUUUUGCCGGGGAGCAGAGAGGUCCACGUGUGGAUCUUGGGAGAGUACCCGGAGAAAAAGCAUCGGCUAACUCCGUGCCAGCAGCCGCGGUAAUACGGAGGAUGCGAGCGUUAUCCGGAUUUAUUGGGUUUAAAGGGUGCGUAGGCGGCAUCGCAAGUCAGCGGUAAAAGUUACGGGGCUCAACCCCGCCGAGCCGUUGAAACUGCGGAGCUUGAGUGGCGAGAAGUAUGCGGAAUGCGUGGUGUAGCGGUGAAAUGCAUAGAUAUCACGCAGAACCCCUGAUUGCGAAGGCAGCAUACCGGCGUCCGACUGACGCUGAAGCACGAAAGCGUGGGUAUCGAACAGGAUUAGAUACC